rnacentral:lncRNA from 10 species
CUAAAGACAAACAAAUAAAUUUUUGAUAACUGAACUCAUUUUUAAAACUAAGUAUGUUUGGAACAACUGACUAUAUGAAUCUAAUUUUUUUUACACUUGAUCUUAGCCAAAAGGCCAAGAAGUGAAUCUAAUUUUUUAACUGCCGAUUUUAGGAAAUCUAAAUACAGAUCAGGUUUUCUUUCUUUCUUUCUUUUUUUCAAAUUUUUAAAGUUCUUUAAAGAGACAGAGUCUUGUUCUGUUUCUCAGGCUGGAGUACAGUGGUGUGAUCCUAACUCAAGCAACCCUCCUGCCUUGGCCCCCCAAAGUGUUGGGAUUACAGGCAUGAGCCACCAUGCCUAGCUCCACAUCAGGUAUUUCUAAUGAGAAUUGAACCUACAAAUUGAAAUAUGGAGGAAGGUAGCCUGGGCCCAACUGAACUCACUGUGUAUUCAGAAAAUAACCCACAGUUGGGAAAUUCACAGUGCCAUUGCUUUGAAUCAAAUCCUUACUUCAUACCAGGUCAGUAUGGUAUAAUUCUGAGAAUAGUUAGUAGCUUUAUCCCAGGCACAUAUUUUGGGAAUUCAACAUCGUUUGUACUAUAUUCCCCCCAAAAAACAUUAUCCAUGAUCUCGGUGUGUGCCAGCAAAAUCCAACAUGCAGAGAUUUUGCAGAAAUUGUUUUUCUGAGAGUAAUAUACUUCAGAAAUGUUUGAUUUAUAGGCAGCCACAUAUGAAAAACUAAAAAAUGUUCCUAGCUCUUAUUCAUAAAUAUACAUGUAUUGAAUUUCUUUGCAGUGUGCUAUAUACAUGACAUUUUCCUCUCAGUAAAUUAUGGCUCAUUUCUGUCUCUUCAUCAGGAUGUACCAUGAUUCUUGGCAACAUGACUGGGUAUUGAUGUCUUGUCUAGCCAAUGAAAUCCACAUAGCAAAGAUGUUAUGAAGACAUGGAAACAUGAAUAUGAAAUAAAAUCAGUAUAGCUAUUUGGAUGAUUAGCUAUCGACACAAGACAGUCCCUGGUAAUUGCCUUUAAUAGUAAGGUAGCACUAGGCCAUGAAAGGUGCUUCAGUGUACCUGCCUCAUUUGUGGCUCCCUUUUGGCCAUGUGACCCUAACUCCCCUGGUCACAAGUGGCUGAACCAGCAAUCAAUACCUGACCUGAAGGCAACCCUCUAUAGGCUGGCAAGUGGCCUACAAAGUUGCUCAGUGCUAGAGAACUGAGCCCAACAGAAGUACAUUCUAAUGUUUAGUGAUUGGCCAAUCGUAUUCUUUGUGAUGGUGCUGAUGGGAAGGUAGUGAUGUGCAUCAGACAUGCAGAGUUAGUAGCAGCUGGAGCAGACACAGAAGCCUCCCUAACAAUGGGCAAUGGAGAAAGGAACAACAGACAGUUCUGAAAGAAUACCAAGUGCUCCUAAGCCAAAAGCUAUAGUUAGGCUGCUGGAGGUACUGCCAGUCCUAAAUGAUGGCAAUGAUGGUCCAUUUUUCUGUGAAACUUGACUGUAUACCUGUUAAGAUUUUUUUGUGUUCUUUUUAAGGCUCCAUGAAUGAAUCUUUCCAAUAAACAAGUUUGUAACAAAGGCAACCUGAACAUUUCUGAUACUUGAAACUUGAAAAUAUCUAAUACAAUUUUACAUCACUUUCAAAUCAUGAGUGAAGAAGUUAAUGUGUUAUUGAAUUAGAUUCCCUAUACAUAUGUCAGUUACUUAUUCAAUCAAUAAUAUGUACUGAUAACCUACUAUGUGCCAGACAUGUA